GGUCGUGUGGUGUAGCGGUUAUCACAUGUCGUUAACACCGACAAGGUCCCCGGUUCGAUCCCGGGCAUGAUCA
rnacentral:tRNA from 1 species